rnacentral:rRNA from 1 species
CGCAUCUGUGCAUGCAGCAUAUCAAUAAGCGGAGGAAAAGAAACUAACAAGGAUUCCCCUAGUAACGGCGAGUGAAGCGGGAAGAGCUCAAAUUUGAAAUCUUAAAGGGUUUCCCUUUACGAAUUGUAGUUUAAAGAAGUGUUUUCUGUUGAGGUUUUGGUAAAAGUUCUUUGGAAUAGGACAUCAUAGAGGGUGAGAAUCCCGUAUUUGACCUUUACUUUCAACUUUGUGAUACACUUUCAAAGAGUCGGAUUGUUUGGGAAUGCAGUCCAAAAUGGGUGGUAAAUUUCAUCUAAAGCUAAAUAUUGGCGAGAGACCGAUAGCGAACAAGUACCGUGAGGGAAAGAUGAAAAGAACUUUGAAAAGAGAGUUAAACAGUACGUGAAAUUGUCAAAAGGGAAGCGUUUGACACCAGUGUUGUUUUUCUGAAAAUCAAUUAAAGAACUGUUUAUGCUAAGCUGUUUAGACUUUAUCAGCUAACUGUUUAGUUUUGAGCUUUUCUUUAAUGCACUUUUCAGUUAACAAGUCAACAUCAAUUUCUUUUGCUGUAAAAAAGCUUGAGGAAGGUGGCUUGAGAUUCGUCUUAAGUGUUUAUAGCCUCUUGCCUAUGCAGUCGGAGAGAUUGAGGUCUGCAGCGUAGAUCCUUCGGGGCUAAAUGCAUUUGUGCUAAGUUAUAACAUUUUAUAGACAACUUGUUGACUAUGAUUUGUCUUGUAGCUUACUCGCUUAUGUUAUUUUACCUACGCUUAGGAUGUUGAACGCGCACAGAGUCUC